GUGGUUAGAAACUCUCAAAGCCUUCUAGUUGCCAUGUCUACUCUGUUCAAACACCAGGCAGCAAAGAUUCGUUGCGGAGCAGUGGCUGUGCCCAGGAUAUGAACACAAUUGAACUGUCUAGACAUCAAAACAACAUAUCAAUAUUGGAUACAAAAACUGUAUCCAUGGAGUCCAGAAAGGUAUUUAAAGAAAACCAACACAGUUACCUGGACUGAACUUCAGGCAGAACGAUUCCAGUUUCUACAUGACCUUGUAAGGCCUGCAGCAUGCCUUGUGCUAAAAAACAAAACCUCAGCCAUCAGACUGCCACAGAAGAGCAGCAGGGCCAUAGGGCACAGGAGGUCAAAGCUCUCUGGGGCUGUGGCACCCAGCUCCUUACAGCACUCCUGCACCCAGCUGUGGCUGGCACGUCACUGCGGGGGGGGGGAAAUGUCACCAAUAUCUUAACAGGCAAUUGCCAGCAGCACAGCAACAGAGAGGGUAUAUACCACAUGCAUAUGUUCUCAGAGAGAAGAUCGAUGGGUUAGUUUCUAUUUGAAAUAAAUUCAAGCUUGUGAAUGGAACGUAGGAAUUGGUGCUGUAUCAGGAAAUAAUUCUUCUGGAAUAAUAUAGCAGGACUGCCCUUGGUACUGCAGGCCCCCAGAAUGGAAAUCGUCACCUCAAAGUAAAUUUUCAUCAGUCUACAAGAAUAAAAAACAACAGUGCUCUUUCCUUACUGGGUUUAACAGCACAGCCCAUGAAGAUAAGGCCUUGUAAGAGCAAGGGAGCAGCAGGUACAUUCUCAGGUGUCUCCAUGAUAGGAAAGUUACUAGUGGAGAACUUGCCACGUUCACCACAGCUGGGAAAGCUCAAUCUUCCUUUAGUUCUCCACUGCUGCUGGCAAGACCACCAAAGAAAGGUGUUCAGAUGGUGAACAGGAUGACCUAAGCCACCGUGAAAGACAUAGGUCAGCAUUAGAGAAUGAACAGCAGUGCACAGCCUGUGCCUGAACAAUAGCUCAAAAGAAAAAGAGGUUCAAUGGAAACGUUUAUACUAAGCUGUUCUCUUUUAAUGCCUCCCACCUUUCUGUGUUUUUGUGGAAAGACAUGUGGACACAGCCAAUGCGUUUCUGAAACACUACACACUGCUUGAUGUCAUCUGACAGCUUUCAGCAAAUGUAGAGUUGUUCCUCACAUAUAGGAACCGGUCCAUAAAUUAAACAUCAAAGCAUAAGCAACUAAUUACUGUCUGCAGCCCUGCUGAUUUAGACCUUGAAUUAACAUUAAGUAGAAAAAGGAGAUCUCAAAGGAAAAGAGUGGGAUGCCUAAAAAAAGCAAUUACCUGUCAGUAAGUGAUAUCUGUCCUUUGGAGUCCACAUAAAUCCCACUCGGUUACAGCAGGAGCACGGCAGACAGCUGUCCUUAAAAGAAAGUUAAAAAAGAGAUUGUAUUUUAACUCCAGUUUUAGUCAAUUGAGAAUAAACAGCCUUUUCCAUGCAAGGUAGACAUCUUAGCUAGGUUCCAGUUUAAGGUACUGCAUUAUUUCUGCACUUUGCUGAGUACAAUAAUUGUGCCCAUCCCAAACAAAACGCAUCUCCCUUCGCUGUAGGUCAGUUGUGGUAUUAUAGGCUGGUGGAGAAAGGUCACUGAAACUUUUGACUCAGAAAAGGGCACUUGAACUUAAACUUCUGUGGCAGAAGGCACAGCUGUGAUUGAAUUCCUUGAAAGGGGCUGAAGAAAAUCUGCGAUUUGAGUUUUGCUUAUGUGGUGUUGCCAGGAACUGAGCAUCAUCGUUCUCCUCAUCUGGUCCAGCAAACCAAGGAAUGCAGCACAGGUAGUGGCUGACAUUUAAGUAAUGUUAAUGACAGAAAGCAUUCUGCAUCAGACUGAUGAAUAUUUGUUGAUGCACCAUAAAGUAGAACAUAGAGAGAGACCCGUAUGUGUUUAGAAGACAGUUUUCAGCUUUUUUCUGUUGUUUCAACAGGCUCAUUAUUGGACCUUGGCACAGGCAUAUUUUACAUUUAUAAAGCAGUUCAUGCCUGCAAAAGACACACUGGACAGUAACGGGUAAACUUUCCCAUUGCAGAGCAUUACCUUAAUCUUUUAUCUGGGCCUGCUUUUCAGUGGCACUUGAUACAGGAGCUAUACCAAACACUUCCUUGAAUACAUAAAGCCAGAGAUUGAGUUACACAUGAUCUGUGAUGCCAGGAAGACAAAAGCUCCUAUAUUACCUGGCACAUGCCUGCUAAAUUAUUGAAGUGCCUCUUCAAACGGAAUAUAUUCACUGGAUAAUUAGCCAACAGAAGAAAACGGUCUCUCUUUACAAAGCUAAUGCUGGCAGGUAUCGUAUCUUUUAUGUACUGUAACAGAAAGUAUUUGCAGAACUGCAACACAAACAUUUGGAAUUGCUCUACCAACGCGAAACUGUUCCAGAGGCACAUGGCCCUCACUGUGCUACUGCCUCCGCCUCCUGCUGCCUUACGAGAACCACCUGAUGGAACUGAAACAGAUACCUGUGAGUCCGAGUCCAGCCCAGCAUCGGGUGGCUCCCACGUGGGGCAGCGCAUGCAGAUCGCUGCCGUCCCAUCGGUAACGCUGCAGCUGUGCUGUACCGGCGUGCUGCUCAGCGCCCUCCUCAGCUCCUUUCCUGCUGCAGGCUGGGGAUGCAGGCGAUGACCUUUUUUUGCCUUUUUUGCACUUGUUUUUAGGUAACAGCUCUGAGUUUACCUUCUUGUUCUUAACUGAAGUAUGUAGAUUGGCUUCUUUCUUGGUCUUGGUUUACCUUCACAGAUCAAUAACAGAUAUGCUCCUCUAGAACUUGAAUUAAAAGGAAAGCAUUGCAACCUUAUGUAUGUCUUUCCAAUCUGUCAGUAUUUUGGAGGGAUAGCUUGAUAUUAUAAUUAAUUUUAACUUUGGGUUUUUUUUUUUUUCCUUUUAAAACAUCAAACUUAAGAAUUCAAAGCAGUAUAAGCCAAUACAAAGACGAGAAGCAAUGAAGGCGUGCUGUACGCUGCACUCCAGCACAGCUGCAGGAGCUCAGUGUUCCACUGCGAAGGCAGCACAGCCCAUCCGCACGCAGCAUGCACCAUCCUGCCAACGCUGCCACCUCCUGGCUUAAAGGGAGAUAUGCUGCAACAGGUUGAGAUGACUUCGUGCAUUCUGUGUGUUACUGCAACUGUCGGUAUAGAAAAUUGGAUGAGGGAUUUGCUUUCUGAAUCGAUUCCAUUCAUUGUGCUCUGCUGCAGCACUGCUGAGAGGGAAUAUUCCGUGGUGAAGCUCCACCAGAAACAAUUCCUUCCUUAGGCAAUAAGUGGGAAUGGGGAAAGAUCUCCGCUGGGCUAAACACGACUGUAUUGUGCAGCCAAACCUCCUCCACAGUGGCUGUGAAAAUGCCUUCCCCUAGAAUCUUACAUCCCGCUUCAGGUAGUUUUGGAUCAGUAACUGCCACACAAGUAACACCGAGCUGUGGAUAAGUAAGCUCUUAUCUUAAGGCUUGAACAGAUACAGCUGUGUGCACUUCACAAGAGAACCCCACAAUAAUUCUGGGGAGGAGUAAAUUGCCAAUGCAUUCUUUUGGGUAAUGGAGAACAAAUCAGUUCAAAGUCUGACUCUGUCAUCACAGUUGAAUACAUCUAACACACAUAGCGAUGUAAUGGAAAAUAUGCCCUUCUAAAAUUAGCCUGAACAAUUAACAUGACGACUAAAUAAUUCUGAAACCUCACCGAGAUAAAGGAAUUGCUUCCAACAUGAGAAUAAGUACUUGCCUUAUUAAUACAGAAUGAAACUAUUUUGGCCAAACUCAGCACCCUCUCAAGCAGGUGCAGCUCCAUUGGAACCUGUGGAAAUGCACACGCCAAACCAGGAUGAAUCUAUUUUCUCUCAACUUCAUUCACACGGCCGUGUAUUUAAACAAAGAAUCAGAAUCUUUAAACAAGAGACAGAUGAUACAUUCCAUUCCUCCCUAUUUACACCAGUGGGAGUUCUGUUCAUAGCAUUUUUUUAAAUGUUUUUGCCAUCAGCAAUCACACACAACCUUGAGCCUACUGCCUGCUGGCAUUCAGCUGUUGGGAAGACUGGAAAAACGUGGGAACAGCCAAAGAUUGCAGCACAUUCAACAACUGAAAAGCAAGCAACAAUAAAGCAUACACACAGAGAGAUCUAUUUAAGCAAGCAAGCAGCUAUUGCUGCAACUGUUGGGAACUUUUUUCUAUCUUAAAGAAAACUAAUUGUCCAUGAAUGUGAAAACCAAAAUCAUACCAACAUAGGAGUAGCAGGAAAAACUUAUCUUGAGAAACAAAGCCCAGAAAAGAGCACCUCUAAACAGUAGCAGUAUGGACCUUCCUCAAAGAUGCACCAAGCAGGAAAUGCACACCAAGAAAGCAAGCAAAGACUGAUGAACACGGCAGAGUCCAAAGUCAGGGGGCCGGUAAGCUAAAGACUGUGAAGAUAGUAUCACUCAUUUACACUAAAGACCAAUUGUCAGGUGCUUGCUAUUGCAACAGCCAGACAACUCGACUCACUCUCAUAACACAAAAGGCCUUUAAUGCUACUCCUCUUAAUUAUUUGAGGCAAAACCACAGACAUGAUUCAUAAUGAAACAGCAGCUGCAAAAUGCAUCCCACUUGCAGAUAAGGCAGCUGGGGAAGAAGCGCUUUACUUUUAAAAAGUGUAUGAAUUGCAGUGAAAGGACACGAAGCUGCUCAUAGAAGCAAACACACCGACUUGGCCACAUGAUUAUAACAGAACUACAAGAUAUAAAAAAGCAUUUCGUAAAAAUUUUAUUUGAAACAUAGCAUGAAUCCAUAACCAUAACUGUCACAACAUACAGUUUUACAGAGUUUGUACAAUAUGACAAGUAUUUUUACACAUGCAUCCCCUCGCCGUUUCUAUUGUUAUCAAACAAGAGUUGAACAGGAACAGUAAGCAUUCACUUCCAGAAAGAAACUUUGGCAUGUGUACGACUGGAUAGUUAGAAGUAAACAGUGGUAGAUUCAGAUCAGAAAGAGACACACAUUGCUUUGACUUUUGCUUCACAGCGUUUUUGAUCAGGAUGAAACUCACCAGCACUAUUCCCUAGUUCAUACAAAAAUGAGCUUUUUUUUUCAGUCCAGAAACCCCUGCUGAGGGAUGAGAAGUGUUAACAGAGAUGUAGAAACUAACUCUUAACUCAGAAAACGCCAGCUUUAAAGCAGUGUAGGCCACAGGUAUUUUGCACUCAUUAGCUCGGUCACAAACAGAACAGAACUCUUAAUGGAUUGCUCACAUUACUGUACUAUAUACCACUUGGCACAACUGGCAGUUUCUCCUUUGGACUAGCAUGAGAAUUGUUGGCUCAAAAGUCUUGUGCAUUGCUGGAGUGUAAAAAGUAAAGGAAAACAGAAUUUGCACUUGUGUCCAUCCAUCUUCUGUCUUGAAUUUGUCACUGCUAUACAUACCUACCAAAGUCAUUAAAAAAAAAAGGAAAACAAUUUGCAAGGCAUUUCCUCCCAGCAUACAGCAGGCAGUACUUCCAUUUAAAAUUAAAAAAAAAAAAAAAAUUAACCAAAGAAAGACUCCCCACAUCAUAAGUAAAAACAGGCCUCCUUUGAGAAGAACUACGUGAAGAAUUGCAAGUGCUUACAAAAAAGUACAGUAUGUAUACAACUUCUCCAGAACUAUUACAAUUAACAGUUUAAUUAGUACCAAUUAAAAAAAAGGAAACAAA